GUAGGGAAUUUUCGGCAAUGGGGGAAACCCUGACCGAGCAAUGCCGCGUGAGUGAAGACGGCCUUCGGGUUGUAAAGCUCUGUUGUAAGGGAAGAACGGCAUAGAGAGGGAAUGCUCUAUGAGUGACGGUACCUUACCAGAAAGCCACGGCUAACUACGUGCCAGCAGCCGCGGUAAUACGUAGGUGGCAAGCGUUAUCCGGAAUUAUUGGGCGUAAAGGGUGCGUAGGCGGCGAGAUAAGUCUGAGGUAAAAGCCCGUGGCUCAACCACGGUAAGCCUUGGAAACUGUCUGGCUGGAGUGCAGGAGAGGACAAUGGAAUUCCAUGUGUAGCGGUAAAAUGCGUAGAUAUAUGGAGGAACACCAGUGGCGAAGGCGGUUGUCUGGCCUGUAACUGACGCUGAAGCACGAAAGCGUGGGGAGCAAAUAGGAUUAGAAACCCCAGUAGUCC
rnacentral:rRNA from 1 species